UCGGGAAUUUUGGGCAAUGGGCGAAAGCCUGACCCAGCAACGCCGCGUGAAGGAUGAAGUAUUUCGGUAUGUAAACUUCGAAAGAAUAGGAAGAAUAAAUGACGGUACUAUUUAUAAGGUCCGGCUAACUACGUGCCAGCAGCCGCGGUAAUACGUAGGGACCAAGCGUUGUUCGGAUUUACUGGGCGUAAAGGGCGCGUAGGCGGCGUAAUAAGUCACUUGUGAAAUCUCCGGGCUUAACUCGGAGCGGCCAAGUGAUACUGUUAGGCUAGAGUGCAGAAAGGGCAAUCGGAAUUCUUGGUGUAGCGGUGAAAUGCGUAGAUAUCAAGAGGAACACCUGAGGCGAAGGCGGGUUGCUAGGCUGACACUGACGCUGAGGCGCGAAAGCUAGGGUAGCAAACGGGAUUAGAUACCCAAGUAGUCCCUGAGCGGGCUGGCAAGGCGCAU
rnacentral:rRNA from 1 species